CCGCCGAAGGUGGGGUAGAUGAUUGGGGUGAAGUCGUAACAAGGUAGCCGUAUCGGAAGGUGCGGCUGGAUCACCUCCUUU
rnacentral:rRNA from 1 species